UUUAAAUAUGAAUAGUAAUAAUAAAAAGUGGGAAAUUAAAGAAUCUUUCUUGAAACAAACCAUGGAGAUUCUCUUCACCAUAAAAUGUAGGUGAGCACUUGUCUACAAAAUUAAUUCCAAGGGAUUAAGAAGUGAAAGAUAGAACUACAUCUACAAAAUGCAAGAAGAGAUAUAUGCAGUUUAACAUCUUCGGUUCCAACAGUGUAUAAAAAAGCAUUGCGCAAAGUGCUCUUUAAGAGGUCAUAGCUCAAAAGUACUCGAAAUUAAAAAGAGUAGUGAUAAGGACCUAGUACGCUACACCAGGGUCACACAAAGAUGUAAAGAUGUCUCUCACGCCUUUUAUUGCAAAUCACACUUACUAUGUACCUCGGGAAGUUUUCCAAAUUGAAGCAAAUGAAAUCACUAAGUUAAGUUAAAGUCACCAAGAGAAAGAAUGUCCAGUUAACUAGGAUACCACUGAAGAUUACCUUGGUAGCACUCCACGAGUAAGGACGUCGAUCUUAUCACUGGUAAUCCACGGAUACGAUUCGUCGCGUACUCGCGUGCAACCGUAGAGGUGAACCGAACGCGAUGGAGCGUGCGCUAGGAACACGCGUCGAGAGAAGAGAGCCAGGCGAGAUUGAAACUGAUUGAGAGCGUUCCGAGCGAGCCAGCGAGUGAUUCGGAGCGGGUGGAAGCGCGCGGAGGCGGAGUCAAACUGCUCAACUUAUCAGAGCCCUCCCACGUUUUGUUCUCCGCCUCUUCUGGUUGUUCCAGCCGGAAACCACCCGCUUCAAUCCUGUCCUCGAGGCUAUCACCCUUGUCUGAAAGAACUGGAUGACGUACCAAUCGCUGCAGGUACCUUGCUACCAGAACACCUACAUUUGCAAGAGGCUGCUCUACUUCCUCAGCUGCGACAGCUGAAAAGAAUGGGUUCAAUGCUGCUCAUCAUUAUGUAACAGAGCUCAGGUGGCUGUUAAGAAAUCGACUUAAGCAACCGACCCGCCGUUUUGCGCAAUAAUCGUCACCUAGAAUCCUACCAAAAUUAAGGCCACCGGAAGAAUCGCUGAAGUCGAGGAAAGAGUAUUCCAUCGCGCGGUUACACCAUUCCCACUGCUCCGAUUUUUGAACAGCGCACGCGUUUGUUCGAAUCGAUAACUGCUCUUGCAAGAGUAGCAAAGAGAGGUGGAGAUAUUCGUGCAACAGGAUAGAGGGAAAGGAAAAACGGUCGCCAUGCUUUGGGCGGAGACUGCAGUACAUUUGGCUCUACCAUUGGAUGGAAAAGCUAACUUGGUGCAUCAACUUGUACGGAAUACAGCGCCGGCUCAGUAGCACAAUAUUCAUGGUCUAAAAUUAGUAUGAACGAUUGGAUGUUUUAAUAAGGACAGAGAGAAGACCUUGUAAUUUUUUAAUUCCCGAGACUGUACACUAUGGUGUAUAGUGCACGAUGUAUAAACUUUGGGAGUGACACAUCGAAGCGGAAGCGAAGCCGAUCUCUUCACGGCCGCUAUCGAAGCUGAAAUAAAUGCAUAAAUAAACAGUACGAUUCCCUGCCAUUGAUCGUGAGCGGUGAAAAUACUUCCUACGUGAUGUAGGUACGAUUCUGUGAAACGGCCCAGUGAUACGUGCUGCUGAUUGCGUAAUACGAAACUAUGUGAUUUGGGCAGGAUGCUGAUAACGAAUUGAAUGUGAAACGCAUAUUCGACGGGAGAGCGUCAUUGAAUCAUGAGGAAGUUAAAUUAAUUAGAGGAAUCAUAAAAUACUGGAGUACUUGAAUAUUAUUAAUGGUACUAGUAUACUAUUACUAAUGGUAAAGUAAUAAAAUAGUAAAUCAAUGAAACACUCCUACAAGAACAUCUGUCUUAUAGUUAAAUUAAUUAGAGGAAUCAUAGAAUACUGGAGUACUUGAAUAUUAUUAAUGGUACUAGUAUACUAUUACUAAUGGUAAAGUAAUAAAAUAGUAAAUCAAUGAAACACUCCUGCAAGAACAUCUGUCUUAUAGUUAAAUUAAUUAGAGGAAUCAUAGAAUACUGGAGUACUUGAAUAUUAUUAAUGGUACUAGUAUACUAUUACUAAUGGUAAAGUAAUAAAAUAGUAAAUCAAUGAAACACUCCUGCAAGAACAUCUGUCUUAUAGUUAAAUUAAUUAGAGGAAUCAUAGAAUACUGGAGUACUUGAAUAUUAUUAAUGGUACUAGUAUACUAUUACUAAUGGUAAAGUAAUAAAAUAGUAAAUCAAUGAAACACUCCUGCAAGAACAUCUGUCUUAUAGUUAAAUUAAUUAGAGGAAUCAUAGAAUACUGGAGUACUUGAAUAUUAUUAAUGGUACUAGUAUACUAUUACUAAUGGUAAAGUAAUAAAAUAGUAAAUCAAUGAAACACUCCUGCAAGAACAUCUGUCUUAUAGUUAAAUUAAUUAGAGGAAUCAUAGAAUACUGGAGUACUUGAAUACUAUUAAUGGUACUAGUAUAUUAUUACAAAUGAUGAAGUAAUAAAAUAGUAAAUGAAUAAAACAUUCCUACUAUCUGUCUUAAAAUUAGAGGAAAGAAGAGUCAUAGAGCUUUGACUCCGGUUACAACUGAAAAACUACUCAUUGAAAUUUUUCAGGAUCCUAUAACAUGACUCGAUCUCCAUCGGAAAGAAGAAAGAGAAGUAGCAGUGAUCGAAACGGCCGGAUAUUUUUCAAUCAUGAUAACGAAUUGUUGAUCGAAAGCCGGGACUCGUGAACCUGGAUGUUGUCACUGUAACAGUGUAUUGUUAGAGCAGUACAAUGAGCGUGUUUAACAAUACUGUUUGCCGAUCCGCUCGAUUGUUUCCUCGCUUCUUAACGUUACUGUUGUCAUUAGCGGCUGCGAUUGCGAUUAAUGCCUAUUAAAACACCUGCGCGACGGUUUUAUUGUUCCUGAUUAGCUAAAUAGCGUUAUAGAAAUGUACGGUUCUUUAUCAGUUUAUUAUAAACAUUUUUGAACUGCAUAAAAUGUGCGACUAUCGAAGUGUUAAUUAUUAAUCGCGAAAAAAGGAAUUAUCAAAGAAUUGAGAGCUGGUUUUGUUUAAUGAAACGUGAGCUCGGCGUGUAAUUUCUGUCACUCGUUCGUGACAAGUCACGCCUAAAGAGCGAACGAUAAAUUAGUAGCGCCUAAAAGGCAUUCGUUGCAUGGAAACUCAAUCCUUCAAACCCUUUAAAAAUUAUGACUACCCAAACGAUCGUAAGGAAAAGGAGGAAAAAAAGGAGUCGUUGUUUUGAUUAACAAAUGUCAAAGCAAACUGACUCCGGAACACUGCCCUUUCUUUCUGACUCCCCCUACAGAAUUUUAUUACCAUUUUAUAGUAGUUUGUCGUGACCAGCCAUGGUCACGUUUCCUUGUGAAGCAUUGCAAGCUGUUGUAUCACAGUCAUGUUUUUAACAUUACAACAGAAGUUCUUUAGUA